CCAGACUCCUACGGGAGGCAGCAGUGAGGAAUAUUGGUCAAUGGGCGCGAGCCUGAACCAGCCAAGUCGCGUGAGGGAAGACGGUCCUAUGGAUUGUAAACCUCUUUUGUCGGGGAGCAAAAGACGCCACGCGUGGCGUUCCGAGAGUACCCGAAGAAAAAGCAUCGGCUAACUCCGUGCCAGCAGCCGCGGUAAUACGUAGGUGGCAAGCGUUGUCCGGAUUUACUGGGUGUAAAGGGCGUGCAGCCGGAGAGACAAGUCAGAUGUGAAAUCCACGGGCUCAACCCGUGAACUGCACUUGAAACUGUUUCCCUUGAGUGUCGGAGAGGUAAUCGGAAUUCCUUGUGUAGCGGUGAAAUGCGUAGAUAUAAGGAAGAACACCAGUGGCGAAGGCGGAUUACUGGACGAUAACUGACGGUGAGGCGCGAAAGCGUGGGGAGCAAACAGGAUUAGAUACCCUAGUAC
rnacentral:rRNA from 1 species